rnacentral:rRNA from 1 species
GACGAACGCUGGCGGCGUGCUUAACACAUGCAAGUCGAACGGGCUCUGUCUGGCUGUGUGCUGGGUGGGGUUAGUGGCGAACGGGUGAGUAAUACGUGAGUAACCUGCCCUCUUCUUUGGGAUAAGCCUUGGAAACGGGGUCUAAUACUGGAUAUUCCUGUCUGGUCGCAUGGCUGGGUGGGGAAAGUUUUUUUCGGUGGGGGAUGGGCUGGCGGCCUAUCAGCUUGUUGGUGGGGUGAUGGCCUACCAAGGCGUCGACGGGUAGCCGGCCUGAGAGGGUGACCGGGCACACUGGGACUGAGAUACGGCCCAGAAUCCUACGGGAGGCAGCAGUGGGGGAUAUUGCACAAUGGGCGCAAGCCUGAUGCAGCGACGCCGCGUGGGGGAUGACGGCUUUCGGGUUGUAAACCUCUUUCGUCGGGGGACAAGGCUCUGCUUGGUGGUGGGGUGGAGGGUACCCGGUGAAGAAGCGCCGGCGAACUACGU